rnacentral:rRNA from 1 species
GACGUAGGUGGCGAACGUUAUCCGGAAUUAUUGGGCGUAAAGCGCGUGUAGGCGGCUUUGCAAGUCGGGUGUGAAAGCCCUCGGCUCAACCGAGGAAGUGCGCCCGAAACUACAGAGCUUGAGUACCGGAGAGGAUGGCGGAAUUCCCCAAGUAGAGGUGAAAUGCGUAGAUAUCGGGAGGAAUACCGAUGGCGAAGGCAGGUCUCUGGGCUAUAACUGACGCUCAUGCACGAAAGCGUGGGGAGCAAACAGG